rnacentral:rRNA from 1 species
UACGGAGGUGGCAAGCGUUAAUCGGAAUUACUGGGCGUAAAGGCGCGCGUAGGCGGCUCUUCAAGUCAGGCGUGAAAUCCCCGGCUUAACCUGGGAACUGCAUUUGAUGACUGCAUCGCUGGAGUGCGGCAGAGGGGGAUGGAAUUCCGGCGUGUAGCAGUGAAAUGCGUAGAGUAUGCGGAGGAACACCGAUGGCGAAGGCAAUCCCCUGGGCCUGCACUGACGCUCAUGACACGAAAGGCGUGGGGAGCAAACAGG